CAAUCUACAGCUCAACACUCGAUCUUCGAUAUAUGGUCUGCACCCCCAAAUUCCCCAAUUUCUAGGGCUCUUUACAUCUAUACAUACAACGACUCUCAGUGGGGUUAGUGAUUGAAUUGUGGUGCUGUGACUGCUGACAUGUUCCAUCCUCAGUGCCUGAAUUGAUUUGUGAAAAAAAUUGGUAAGACACGAUAUAGCACUGAGCUAUGUAUGGAAGAGCGGGUCUUGAUCGUUUCAAGAAAGCCCAGUCUUCGGAGCCUUUCGCAGUUACUACGAAUGCUGCCACUAAAACACCCAUACUUCCUGCUUCUGGAGAAGCUAAUCAAGCUCAAGGAUCGUAUUUGCAGAACCAACACCAAAAUUCUCAGAAUGUUGUGAAAAGGCCUUUUGCAGUGGAUGCACCCCCAACUUCGGCUCCAGCUCCAGCUCAGCACGCGACACCGGUUGGAGGGGGACAGUCAAAUUGGCAGCCUCCUGAUUGGGCAAUUGAGCCUCGCCCUGGGGUUUAUUACCUUGAAGUUUUGAAGGACGGGGAGGUUCUUGAUCGGGUUAAUUUGGAUAAGAGGAGGCAUAUCUUUGGCCGGCAGUUCCAUGCUUGUGAUUUCGUGCUUGAUCAUCAGUCUGUUUCACGUCAGCAUGCAGCUGUUAUUCCACACAAAAAUGGCAGCAUAUACGUGAUUGACUUAGGCUCUGCGCAUGGCACAUUUGUUGCAAAUGAGCGAUUGGCCAAAGACUCCCCUGUGGAGUUAGAAGCAGGGCAGUCUCUACGGUUUGCGGCUUCAACCAGAACGUAUGUUUUGAGGAAGAACAAUGAUGCUCUUUUCCCUCCACCUCCUCAACCCUCAGAGAUUGAUUUGCCACCACCUCCAGAUCCUUCUGAUGAAGAAGCAGUUUUAGCAUAUAAUACAUUUAUUAAUCGUUCUUUGAAUGGGUUGGCGACACCCAGCACAUUAUCUAAUUCGAAAAACUCAAUUAGCUCGUCAGUUACAAAGGAUGGCAGACAGCUAACUGAGAGAGCAUCGAAGAGAAUCAGGAGAACAAGAGUGGCAUUUAAGGACCAGGUUGGGGGGGAGCUGGUUGAAGUUGUUGGAUUUUCUGAUGGAGCUGAUGUGGAGACAGAACCUGGUCCCAUGGGUGUGAAAGAAGGAAGUCUUGUUGGGAAGUAUGAAGCACUUGUCCAGGUUACAGUUAUACCUAAAGGGUCGGGACAUACCCCUGCGAAGCAAGCUCCCAGUUCUGAAACAGGUGUGACAGAGAAACUUCAGCAAGUCUUGAACAAGGUCAAGGCUCCUGCCAAGAGUGGUGGUAUAUAUGACGAUCUUUAUGGAGAGUCAUCGUCUGUUAAAGUUGGCUCUUCUUGGGCACAUAAACCAGUUGCAUCUGGUAGUAGGGAAGCUUCUCCUAGUAUCGUGGGAGGAAAUACCUCUGGAUCCGAAAGUAAAUUAGUCAACAAUGAUGAUGAUGAUGAGGAUCUAUUUGGCUAAGCAAAAUGCUUAUUUUUUUGAGUUACAAUUGUUCUCCUGUAAGAACACUAUUUUUGUUCUGGAGCAGUUUGCUUGAGUUACCAUACAAUGAAUUUUGAAGCUGUGUAUGUUGGAGGUUUUUGAAGGAAAGGAUUGGAUACUAGGCUUUUUUCGUGGUUA